rnacentral:lncRNA from 1 species
GCCAUUUUGGAAGAUUGAGUCUUGGAUAAGAUUGCUUGACGGUUUGGUUUAGCCCAUACUAAUUAGAUUGAUCAUAUGAUGACUGAAUAGAUGAGAUCUAAAUCUAAAUCUCUCCAUAAAUAUUAAGUCCAUAGAUCUUCCAUCAUUGUAGAUGUACGGGAUGUGAUACUAAUGUUGAUUGUUCUCGAUUGGUCACAGUGGUUCAGUUACACAGAGAAUAUGUAACUAUUCUAUUAGCAAAUAGUUGCUCCAAGGUAAGGAUGGAGACGAGCCCAAUAUCUAUUAGGUGAGGAACCCAAUGAUGGCUUUGUACGUACUUGUGAACGGU